rnacentral:lncRNA from 1 species
GAGGACUGACGAGCAGGCAUUGGCUCCCGUUUGGGUUUUCCCUGCAGAGUAAGGCCAUUGAAUUUAUCUCAUUUAUACCUUGAGCACCAACACACACACAAUUCGUGAAGUGGAAAACCGAGGAGGACGUCCCUGUGGGCUGGAGUGGACAAGAUCCUGUGAGUAGAGUUCAGUGUGGACAUCAUUAGGUUGUAUCAAAACCUCUGCCAUGUGUUGGAUGUCACUGGUGCCACAGUGACAGUCAGUGGGUCACACACAUGCGCACACCAUAUAUCCGUACUAGAAGUGCUCUUAACAGAAAAUGCCAAAUUUACCGUGGAGGACAAUAUUCCCAGUUGUGUGUUUUUUUCUUGUACUUUGCACAUUAGUCAAGCCUCGUGCUUGUUAAAGUGUGUGUGAAGUGUGACAUAUUCUGGAAGACAAGAAAGGCUUGUCUCUAUUUACUGCACAUCAGCCAGGUUGAAGCAGGUGACACUGGGCUCUCCAGAUUCACUCUCCUCUGCCUAAGAGCCACCACCUGUGGGGUGGAGCCGACUCCAGGGAGAGGAGGGUUGGGGGCAGUGCAGAGGCCCUUCAGGACUGGGCCCAGGUGAGGCCAGCCCCAGUGACAUCCCAGGCACCCUGCUGUUGGGAAGACAAGGGUGAAUGUCCUUGAAAUGAAGAGGUCAGUUUGCUAGUCUCGGGUGGGUGCCACGGUUGUGUGGGAUGGUGGUGGUGUUGUGGAUGUGUGGGCAAUGCCACAUGCUGGUUAUUCUUGGUUUGUGGGAGCUACGCUCCCCUUGUCCACAACGACAGGCAAGUGAAAGAGCUGGGCUCUGAAGUUAAGCAGAGGGGUUGUAGCACCAGCUUUGUGGGUUGGGUCUACGCCUCAAAUCUGUGUGCUGCCUCGGUUUCCUCUCGUAAAUGGAGCUCGUGAUAACAACCUUACAAGAUGUCAAGUGCAUCAGCGAUCCUACCUGACACAGUCGGCAGAGUGGUCCUUCUAUAAAUUAUAGCAAUGAUUAACUUCUCAAUCACAGCAGGUAAAUAAAUGGGGAGAUACGUUAGAUUUUUUUUUGGAUCUUUCCUGAUUUGCUUUGAUCUUUCAUAUAACGCACAAAUUAUCCUGAAGAGCAAAGAAAUGAAAGAAGCUUUGCAAAGCCAAAUAAGUUUGUGUUUCUCGUAAAACUGUCUAAUCAAAAUGCUGUCUAUUAACUCUGAUGUCAGGUGACCUUUGGCUCUGAAUUGGUGUGUUGUGGCAGAGGGAGUUCAACUUGUUCUCAAGAUUUCUGUUUUUGGCUGUAGUAAAGCAUAAAAGGGAGGAGACAUUUCUUUAGUGGGCAACUAUAGGGAGACUUUAAAAUAGUGCCCUUCUAGUCCUUCCCUUAGGAAGGAAGGAAGGAAGGAAGGAAGGAAGGAAGGAAGGAAGGAAGGAAGGAAGGAAGGAAGGAAGGAAGGAAGAGUUCUCUCAAGGAAAUUCAUGGUAACUAGAAACUCAGUGCAUGGAAACACAGGUCAUUACAUUGUGGACCAGGAUCUAAAACUUUAUCUGAUAAUUUCUCUUGCAUUGUGUCAGGGCCAAGGAUGAAAAUAACUGUCAUGGUCUAAUAUCUGUUUAUAUUUCAUGCAUGACUCAGUUUGUGAAUCAUCUUAUGAGGAGUUUGCUGGUUACUUCAGGGUAGUUUCCAUCAACAGAACCUGUAUGCGGGGAACAGAGAAGCGUCCACACUUGCGUGAGUCCCCAUGCACAGUGGUUGGUUGGGUGCAGGGACUUUGAAGGGACCAGCCAGGAUGCACAACCAGGCUGCAGGGGGGACAACGAUGAGGAAGUUCUCCUGCAGACAUCUCAUCACCACCUUCUUGCUGCUCUCUGAAGGUCAAGUUCUGGGCUUCUACCUGCCUGGACCAGUCUAUAGCUGAUUCUCAUCAUUCACAGAUACAACAUUUUAUUAACUUGCCUCAAACACUGAAUUGUCAAAUACUGAACUAUUGCUUCAUGAGGAAGUGGAGAAUCCGCUCCUGUGUGCCUCUGGCCACGUUUUCAUCGAAUGAUCGACAGAUUUGUUUUAUCCAUGUUUCUGCUGAAAGACACCUUAUGUCCCAUGAACUGUUGAUCCAUAAACACGGACCUCAAGGACAAUAGUACCUUGUCUUAGGUCUGAACGAAGCCUCUCCAACACACUCUGUUUUACCUGGCUUGGGAGUGGACAGUGGAGGCUUAUCCGCUUAGGAAAAUUGGGUAGUAUGUUAGCAUGGUGCUUGGGCCAUUCAAAACAGUGAAAUCACCACUGAAAAGCACCAGAACCCAAGACAUGGUAGCUGAAAGGUGCAGGAGGCUCUGGUGCGCAGUGCGGGGGCUGAGCAAGGCGGGGAGGCGCCUUGGUGGGCCUGCUGGGAGCACCGGCAUCUAAGUGACUUGGCUUGUUGCUCUGCACACAUCCUUGAGGGCAGGAGAAAGUGCCUCGUUAAAUUAAAUCCAGUUUGUGCCUGGGGAGGCCUCCUGCUUAAUUCCAAGUGUGGUCAGCUGUGACCUGGCUUGGUACGGGGGCCAGCUGUGUGUGCCCAUAGGAGUGUGCUCAUGAACUGGCCUCCCUCACAGUGGCAGGCUCAGCCAGCCCCUGUGGCCUGUUGAUUCAAUCAAACACUGAGUCAUAACCCAUUGAGGAGUCUGGUGCCACUUAUGUUCUCUGUCCAUAAAUGCUGUCUGUCGACUUCACAGGCCUGAAUUCCCUGAACAUCUUCUUAUUCUGAGGCUGUUCAACUCCAGAAUCAAGAACAAAAGCCAGCGGAAGUCUUUCAAUUUGUUGUGACUUUGACUUGUGAUUUAAUGAGAAGGUGUAUUUGCAGACACGUUAUCCGGGAAUAAUGAGGAUUGACUCUGUGACUCUGGCUCUCGUGGCCUCGGCCUCUGUGUUUAACACCAGUCCUGAGAAGACUCUGUUCUGCUCUGCUUGGAUCAGGAUCCAGUUGGCUGGGGCUGGCACUUGGGGUUGGGGCUGGGGCUUAAUGAGGAGGCUGUUCUCCUGGCACUUGGGUUGGUGGUGAUAUUGGCAUCUUGGUCUCCUUUGUAUUACUUGGAAAGAUGCACUUGGCAACCCAAAUGCUGGUGGGUAUCAGAGGUCAGAAGUGAAAGGACUGAUUUUUUUUUGAAUUUUUGAUACCAGGGAUUAAACUCAGGGACACUCAACCAAUGGGCCAUAUCCUUAGUCCUUUUGAUAUUUUAUUUAGAGACAGGAUCUCACUGAGUUUUUUAGUGCCUCGCUAAGUUGCUGAGGUUGGCUUUGAAUUUGCCAUCCUCCCUCCUUAGUCUCCCGAGCCUCUGAGAAAGGACUAUUUUUUAUAAUUGGCUGUAGUUCUGUUUUUCUUCACCCCCUAAGGUGUCUGGGACCCCAGAGAAAGGUAGUGUGCAUGUGGUCCUGUUGUGGACCAUUUUCUCUUCCUUUGUGUGCGAGGGUCACACACUUACCUCGUGGGGGUCAGUGUCAUAAUGAUCCAGUACCCCUCCCUAGCACAUGCAAACACAGGACCUGUGCAGUGCUCUGUAUGGGGGCCAUGUGGCCUGACCAAGCCCUUGUCUGCUCGCAACUUCCACCCGAGACUGUCAGAGUGUGUUUAGGUACAGGGCUGUAUGCAGCUGUAUGGCAGCUGGUCCUGUCUGCCUGAAUGGGUGAGCUUGGCACUCCACCUAAGGCUCACGCUGAACUCCGAGGGGAUCAACAAGCCGCUCUUAUGUAAGGGCAAGGAGAAGGUCCAGCCCCAGCAGUCCCCUCUCUGACCUGUGUUUUUUCUUCCCUGGAACAACAAAGAGGCUUUGGAAUUUCAAGGUCGUUUUCUAUCUGGGCUGUGGAGCAGGCGAUGGGAUGAAAGCCUUCUCAAGGGCCUCGGGUCCUGGAGUUGAUGGUUUAGACUCAGGCACAGACAUAAACACACGUGACUGACGUCAACAUGUGGCUCUCAGCCCCCGCGCAGAGCUGGGUGGUCCCCGGGAGCAGCACUGGGAGAGGCCACCGGCUCACUGAGCCCCUGGCAGCGGCCAGGCUCACAAUGGGAUUUUGUCCAGUGCUGACCCCUCCCCCUGACCUGGAGUCUAACGCGUGCAACCGGGUGCUGGGCAGAUGCGGGGUGCGGCAGAAGGCAAGUCCUGGUUGAGUCUGUCAUGGUGUCCCCCAAUUCAUGUUGAGCUGCCUCCCUUGUAGUGGGAGCAAGAGGUUUGGGGAAGUGAUCAGGUCACAAGGGCUGGCAGGAACUAGCUAGGCCUCUUUCCACCCUUCUGUUCCUCCUGCCCCAGUGGGCACAGCCCCCAGGGCUCUGUCAGAGAGCAGAGAGCAGGCCUCAUCAGACCCUGAGCCUGCCUGGGGCACCUGCUGUUGGAGUCCCGCCCCCCAAGCUCCCCUGCAACUGGGAGAAACACAUCUCCGCUCCGACAGAGUGCCCAGGCUCAAGGUGCUUACAGCAGCCCCGAUGGACUCAGAGAGUCACAGAUCCAUCUACCAAACCAUGGGAGGCUGCAUGGGGCCUCGACCCCUGUCCAGAACCUCCCAGGUGACAGAGACUAUAAGAAGGACUGUGGAACAGGAAGGGGACAUUAGUUGUGGGGGGCGCUCUUCAGCAGUUUGGUCCACAUUGGUGACAGGGACAGCCCUCUAAUUCCUGUGAGGGGUAAGGUCCCUCAAACUGGGCUUGUCUGUCCACAUGCUGAGCACAUGAAGACACAUUUGAUGCACAGGGCACCUUGCUGGAAAGAAUUUCUGCAGCUCAGGAUGACAAAGCAGAAAUAAGGAGACGGUAUUAGCGACAUCCGUGUCAUAAGCCACAGAUGAGCCCAUUUGCAGGAGGGCUGCCAUCAGGGGUCUGCUCUCCUGAGCCUGGGCAGCCGCGCCCCGACUUCUGGGGCCCAGGUUCCCUGCGACAGCUGCCAUCAGGUCAGUCACUCCUGAGAGCCCAGCAUGGCAGCUGCAUUCCCAGGACUCCUGCUUCCUGGCCCUGGCUAGUCUUGAAGCCAGGUGGCUCAGCCCUGAACAGUGCAUGUCCCCUCCAGAUUGCCAUGGACCUAGAGUGACAGGGAAAAUGUGUUUUUAUUUGUUUUGUUUUGUUCUCAAAAAGCAAAGUUCCUAUUUGUGUUCUAUAAUCCAGGCUCGUCUCCGAGUUGCCCGCCCACAGCCCAGCCCAUCGGAGCCCAUCAGAGAGAGGGAGGCUGCUGGACACAGGGGGUCAGGGCACUGGGCACAGGGCUCUGUGGCUGGACAGGUCCUGCCCACCUUGUUCAGGAGGCCUGUGGUUAAGCUAGUGCCAGGCUCCCCCGGUGGAGGGGAGGGGAGCACAGUGACCAUGUCUGUGGUCCUAUUCCUGAGCGAGGUCACAAAUCUGGGCUAAUAUUUUAUAGAGGGGGUCAGGGCAUGCUCAGGAUAGGCUUAGAAAACUUCCUGGAGAAGAGGGUGGCGGUGCUCAAGAGGCAGGGGAGCAGGCUGCGGACUGGCAAGGCCCUCGCAAUGCAGAGUACUCUCUUGCCCGCGAUAUGCCACACCUCUCCUCCAGGGGCAGAGCUGUCCCUCUCCCCCCAGCUCCCCAGAGCCUCGGGGCUCAGGAAUGAAGGGCUUAAGAUGGGUGCAGUGGAGACCUGUCUCCCGUCUCCCUGCUGAUUCUGGGCCACACCAGGCAGCCAUUGAGAGUAUGGCCCUUGUCUAUGACACAGCACUUCCUGGAGGGAAGACACAUUUGAUGCACAGGGCACCUUGCUGGAAAGAAUUUCUGCAGCUCAUGGUGACAAAGCGGAAAUAAGGAGAUGGUAUUAGUGGCAUCCAUGGCAUCCAGAGUUUGGCGGCUGCCUUAAUUGAGAUGCUGUCUCAGCUGGUCCAGAGUCCUUCUUACAGGGCUGCCACCCAGAUGAUGACCACCCAACGGGAGACGGCUGGGCAGGAAAGCGCGACACCGGGGCAGGGAGUGAUUUAUAGAUCCUUCCAGGGGCAGGAGCUUGCCGUCGCUUGCAGAGCUGGCCCCACACUCCUGCAGCGUUGCACCAGCGACAUCAUCACGCUUCCUCUCAUUCAUCCUCGCACUUUUGGAUUAGGAAGGAGAGAUUAAUUGUGUGGGGGACCCUCAGCAAUUUGCUGAACCUCUGCAUUCCUGACAUUAAUCUUUCCCCAAGUGCCCUAUCAUUAACUUGAAAAAUCAACCGGGCAAAACCUUAGAGUAGGUUCAUGCAAAUGAGAAUACAUAAAUAGCACGCGGAGAGGAGCUGGGAAGGCCGCCGGGCUUCCUGGGCACCUGUGGCGGAGUGUCGCGGGAGCCCCCUUCGCAAGCCUUCAUCUGUGGAACGUGUCCCUUGUCCACAGCUUGUUAGAGUCGUUUCUUUUUGGCGUGGGUCAGGGAAAGGCAUGAAAACAUUUCUAUUUUCAAAUAAUGCAAAUAAAAAAUCCCUCUUCGGAGGAAACGCCCCGUGCUGUUGGAACUCGGUGGCCAGGGCUUCACCUAGGUUCUCUUCAAUCCAGAAAGAAAAAUCGCAGGAGAUUGCUUGCCUUGAGACUUUCCCACAUGACAGCAAUUCUUACCGUGCCAGAAGUGGUUCAUCUUGUUGUAUGGGAAGUUGGCUAAAGCACUGCAUUGAGGUAACAACUUUGGAAGUUUUGAGUCUCUUUUUCUGAAAACACUCUUCCAUGCAUAGAUUUGUUCUUAGGUAAGUAAAGGUCUUGAUUUGUGCACACUAAAUCAUGGUGACCAGCUGUGUAGAAAAACAGCUGUGUGUUCUACUAGGACAACAUGGCCCUCGAGCCGGGGCUCUGAGGGGAGGCCCCUGGCUGGCCAUUGCAGGUGCCUGGCUUUGCUCUACCCACUCCUCUGUGCAGUGCCCUCAUGGUGGCCAACGGACUGAAGGCAAACUGCCCAUGCGGGUUGAGAAGGACACACCCGCUGUUCCACUGACUACUUAUGAACGAGGCCUUUUGAAAAAUCUGCACUCAGCUGAAUCUUCCCGUGCACUGCCAUGGACAUACUCACCAGCUACCUGAGUCAGGUAGAGCAGGAUACAGCCAGGUCAAAUGGACACAUGGAAUAAGAGAUCUGAGAAAGGGGAAAUUAGAGAGAUGCUGGAAUUUGGAUGUUUUUCUAGAUUUCAUUAAAAGGUAAAAAUAUAAAUCAUCUGAAACCUGUAAAGUUUUUGAUUGGAACAAACCUUAAAGUGAAGUUUAAAAUGAAAAGUAAUUCACCAUAGAUUAUAUUUUCUUCUUAUUAAAUUUUACAUGGUAGUGUCAUCAAGUUAAAACCUCACAAAGGCCUGGGUUUUAAAAAAAGGCAUGUGGUUUUUUCCCAAUUAUUGGUUCGCUUAAUAUUUAUGGAGAGCCUCCGGAGUGUACAUCCCCGUGUUCAACAGGAAAAUUGUGGAGAAACAUCGAACUUAGGCCAAGACACACUCUCCAGUGAUGGAUCACGUCAUCACAUGGAAGCCGGCAUAGGCAGAGCCUGUGAGCGCAGCCUCUGGUCCAUCUGCUGAUGUCUAGCCAAGAGGGACAGAGAAUGACUAGUCACUUCAUGGUCACGCAUUUGUUUGAACUUUGGUUACCAACUCAAUUAAUAAUUUAUUUUAAAUAAGCUAAAUGUUCAGCCUAUGUUAAAGUCAUUUGCAUUCAUGUGCAAGGUAAAUAUGUUUGAAUUUUUAAUACUCUUUUGUAUAUCAACCCCAUUUGACUAAAACUUGGUGGAAACAUCUUUAUUUCACACAGAUCAUUUCCUUAAACUAAAAGCAACCCCAAGGAAGUACACAGCACCCGUUAAGUGCCGGGCAGUGCGCAUGUGCACACAGACACACAAGCCCUCUGAAGAGCCAUGGGAGGGAGUCCCUGUCACCUGCAUGAUUCGACCACAUGGAGCCUGCACUGCACCAGAGCGUAAGCAGAAUUCUUGUUUUUCACAAGUGUGUGGAGGAUGACAGUCAUCAGUAGUUACACAUUUAUCAAACACUUGUCUUUGGUAGGCACUAGGGACACAAGGGUGAUCCAGAUCCGGGGCUUGCCCUCCUGUUUACCUUCUAGAGAAAGCAGGUCUUCACAAAGCUGCUGACACAUGACAUUCCCAGUUUGCUUUCUUGUAGAAGGUGGCCUGGGCAAGUUGAGGUCACAUGUAAAGAUUCCCCAAUUCUAACAGUGAACUUCAGGCAAUAAGGGGCUUCUUGUGAUCUUUCACCAGACUCAGCCACGGCCUCCAGGGCCCUUAGCAAGAGGGAGGUGCACAGCGGGUUAGUCAUGUCCAGUGUGAAGACGUCGGCCAGCACCAGGAGACAGUCACAAACAGAAGACCCCAGAGAGGGACUGGAACCUCCUUCCACUGGCUCCUUUUCUGUUCCUGAGGAAGAGCCAUCAGCUCUGGCCCAGAACAAUCCGAGUUAAAAGGUGUGGACACGGAGAACGGAUAGGCUGAGUGUCGUGAGAUCCAGUGACUUUAGCAGAUACUGUCGACUAUUUAGCAGACAGUUUUGAAGGAUAAAAACGAGCCAGGACCUGCAAAGCUCCCUGGGUCUAGCUCCUGAAUUACAGGAGUAGAAUACAUGGAUCAUGUGUGCAUGUGUGUGUGAGCAUUUGUGUGAUAGCACAUGUGUGUGCAAGUUAACAGCCACUGAGAACAACAUGGGCUCAGCUCCCCAAGGUGAUUCGCCUAGGACCCUCCUGCAAUCUCCUAAGACCUGGUCUGCAUUCACACAGGCCUUCUGUCUAAAACCACACAUUCUGCCCACUUGUGCUCUCUCUGCAGCGGGUAAAGCUGAGCUCUCCACAAUGUAAAUCUUCACAGUACAGAAUUUGGAUAGAAUUUAAGGUAUUUUAGUGUCACAAGCAAUAUUCCCUAACUUUAAAAGGGGAAAGAUAUUGAAUAUGACAUUCAGAUAAAGAAUUCUUGGGACUCAUUGGGUUUGUUGUUUCUAAUGAUCCUUGGGGAGCAAGCUGUGACUCUAAACCUUUUAAUAUAUAUAUAUUUUUUGUAUUAAGGAUUGAACCCAGGGGCGCUUAACCACUGAGCCACAUCUCCAGCCCUUUUCGCUUUGGAUAUUGAGACUCAGUCUUCCUAAGUUGCUUAGGGCCUCACUGAGUUGCUGAGUCUAGCCUUGAACUUUCAGUCCUCCUGCCUCAGCCUCCUGAGUCACUGGGAUUACAGGUGUGCGCCACUGCCCAGCAUCAUAAUUUUUUCCAUGAAAUAUGCCUAAGGAAACUAUUUGGUCAUUAGCAGUAAAACAGAACAAAAUAAAAACAAAACAAAACCAAACCUCUAUCUGCAUACAGACUUCACAGGAGGUACACAGCAAUCCUAAGUAAAGAUAAAAUUCCAUUUAGAAUAUCCCAUCAGACCAUGAGACGGGUGUGUGGUAAGCUCUUCUCCGUCACAGCCCUGAGGACGUGUAUCGUGUGGUUUCUCAAGGUCUGAAACCAUAUUCCUUGCCUGUGUCAGGGAUGUCAUUGAAGGCCCCAAACGAUGCUCCUCCAGGCACUCAGGAGAGGUCUGAGGGUCCGCAUGCCGUGGUGAGAGUACAGUGCUGCAGGACCUGGUGCACAGAUGGGGCAGUGAUCAAGAAGCUGUUGGGAUAAAAAGAGGUUUCGUUCCUUGCCUUCCCCCGUGAGACUGGCAUGGUGUGUUUUCAUCAUGUUCUUUGAAGUGAAUUCCUAGAAUCAAGACGUUUUUCAAGACGUUUAGAAGUGGGGGGUCCCAGCUCUAAUUGCACUUUUCCAUAGACCAUGGUCAGCAGGUCACAUUCUGAUGACCUCACGUACCCCUCAGGAGACCCGUAUUGAGUGCACGCUGUAUUCCAGGACGGCUGCCUGUUGAAAUUGUAUUAUCUCAGAAUGUUCCUGAACAUUCAUGCAGGUACAGAAAUCUUUCUGAAGCAACGGCUUGUGUGGAUGUGCAGAAAUUGGAACCCCUGUCCUUCAUGGGGGGAACCCCUGUCCUUCAUGGGUGGGACUGUAAAAUGGUGCAGCCACUUUGGAAAAGAGUUGAUAAUUCCUCCAAAUGUCAGGCCCAGAGUUACUGUGUGACCAGUAAUUCUACAGCUAGAUUUAUGCUCAUGAGAAUUGAAAAUGGUGUCUACAUCAAAACCUGCACACAAAUGUUCUUAUCAGCUUUAUAAUAACCAAAUUGGGAGUAACUCAAAUGUUCAUCAGCAGAUGGAUGGAUAAACAAAACACAGUGUGUUUGUGCAAUAGAAUGCUUAUUGGAUAUUUUGUGAAAGGGUGCAAUUCUGUUUCAUGUUCCAGUAGGGACGAACCUUGACAUUAUUAUGCUAUGUGAAAGAAGGAACAACAAGCGGCCACAAAUUGUGCUUCUGUUUAUAUCCCAAUGCCCAGGAUACACAAAUCCAAAGGCAGAAAGUCAAUUAGUGGUUGCUGAGAGAAUGAGGGUGUGGAGGGAAACGAGGGUGAUCUGUGGAUGUGUUUUAUUUGGGGAUGAUAAUAGAGAGUGGCAAUGGCUUUACAAUUCUGUGAUUAAGCUAAAGUGACUGAAUUGCACACUUUAAAGCAAUAAAUCUUAUGGUAUGUGAAUUAUAUUUAAUGAAGUUUUUACCGAGCUCUUAGGUUGUUCAAACCUUUGUCCCAUAAGUGAUCAAGAUUGAACUUGUUGUUUUGAGAUGUUUUUAGCCUUUAGAUUAAAAUAAAGCAAA